rnacentral:rRNA from 1 species
GAGUUUGAUCCUGGCUCAGGACGAACGCUGGCGGCGUGCUUAACACAUGCAAAGUCAAGGGGAAAUCCGCCUUCGGGUGGAGAGUAUACUGGCGAACGGGUGAGUAACGCGUAGGGAACCUGCCCUUCAGAUGGGGACAGCCCCGGGAAACCGGGAUUAAUACCGAAUAUAAUCCCGCACCACAAGUUGCGGGAUGAAAGGCGGCCUUCGGGUCGCGCUGAGGGAUGGGCUUGCGUCUGAUUAGCUUGUUGGUUGGGGUAACGGCCCACCAAGGCGACGAUCAGUAGCUGGUUCGAGAGGAUGAUCAGCCACACUGGGACUGAGAUACGGCCCAGACUCCUACGGGAGGCAGCAGUGGGGAAUUUUGCGCAAUGGGCGAAAGCCUGACGCAGCAACGCCGCGUGACCGAUGAAGCUCUGAGGAGUGUAAAGGUCUGUCCCAGGGGAAGAACAGUCCCGAUGUAAAUAGCGUCGGGAUUUGACGGUACCCUGGAAGAAAGCCCCGGCUAACUUCGUGCCAGCAGCCGCGGUAAUACGAGGGGGGCUAGCGUUGUCCGGAUUUAUUGGGUGUAAAGGGCUCGUAGGCGGGUCGAUCAGUCGGAACUUAAAGACCACGGCUCAACCGUGGGAAUGGUUUUGAUACUGUCGAUCUUGAGUUUGGCAGGGGAAGAUGGAAUUCCUGGUGUAGCGGUGAAAUGCGUAGAUAUCAGGAGGAACACCGAUGGCGAAGGCAGUCUUCUGGGCCAAAACUGACGCUGAGGAGCGAAAGCGUGGGUAGCAAACAGGAUUAGAUACCCUGGUAGUCCACGCCGUAAACGAUGAGUACUUGAUGGUGGGGGAUUCGACCCCUUCACUGUCGGAGCUAACGCGUUAAGUACUCCACCUGGGGACUACGACCGCAAGGUUGAAACUCAAAGGAAUUGACGGGGGCCCGCACAAGCGGUGGAUUAUGUGGUUUAAUUCGAUGCAACGCGAAGAACCUUACCUGGGCUUGACAUGUACCUGAAACUCCGGUGAAAGCCGGGGCUUCUGCGAGGCUUGCCUCAAAGACAGGUUCACAGGUGGUGCAUGGCUGUCGUCAGCUCGUGUCGUGAGAUGUUGGGUUAAGUCUCGCAACGAGCGCAACCGCUGUCC